rnacentral:lncRNA from 1 species
ACUUUACCUGAAUCAGACUCUGCUUUGUGGAAAUCAGAUCUACCUCAAACUGAGGUGUUACCGUUUGAAGUGCUCUCAGGGGAGCAACCUGGACCAAUCACCUAAUCGCUAGCCCCCACCCCCACCGACCCAUCAUCAUGCCGGUAGAGGCACCACCUCAGGAGAAUGGAGCUUGUGGGGGAAAGCAGGUUUUUACCUAGGUAAAAAGGUAGAGGAUUGUUUACAUAUGGAAAAUAAGUUGAAGACCUAGAAAGCAGAAAGCUAAGAUUCUGGAGAAGAAAUGUACUGUUCUUGGAUUUUAACAGAUCCUAAGGCAUAAAAAGUCCUUUGACCUCUACCCUCUGACCCACAGGCUGAAGCAGAUGUGGCUUCUCUGAAUCGACGCAUUCAGCUCGUAGAGGAGGAGUUGGAUCGGGCACAGGAGCGCCUGGCUACAGCCUUGCAAAAGCUGGAGGAGGCUGAGAAAGCCGCUGAUGAGAGCGAGAGAGGAAUGAAGGUCAUUGAGAACCGGGCCAUGAAGGAUGAGGAGAAGAUGGAGCUGCAGGAGAUGCAGCUGAAAGAAGCCAAGCACAUCGCUGAGGACUCAGACCGCAAAUACGAGGAGGUGGCCAGGAAGCUGGUGAUCCUGGAAGGAGAGCUGGAGCGCUCUGAAGAGAGAGCCGAGGUGGCUGAGAGCCGAGCCAGGCAGCUGGAGGAGGAGCUUCGAACCAUGGACCAGGCUCUCAAGUCGCUGAUAGCCUCAGAGGAGGAGUAUUCCACCAAAGAGGACAAAUACGAAGAAGAGAUCAAACUUCUGGAGGAGAAGCUGAAGGAGGCUGAGACCCGAGCAGAGUUUGCUGAAAGAUCUGUGGCAAAGUUGGAGAAAACCAUCGAUGACCUGGAAGAGACUUUGGCUAGUGCCAAGGAAGAGAACGUGGAGAUUCACCAGACCUUGGACCAGACCCUUCUGGAACUCAACAACCUGUAAGGGCUGGCCCUGCUACCUGCCGACCAGACUACAUAGAUGCCUCCUCAGGCCAAUAAACGGAUGUCUCUGGCAUGCUAGGGCCCUUUCAGCCUUUCUUUGUUGGCAGUGGAGCUGGAAGGACCCUGACUGAGC